UGCACUGUUUGCUCCAAUUUUUUGAGUGAAAGACAUUCCCAUAUAAUUUGGGAACUUAACUUUGAAAAAUUGGCUUUUCAAUUAAGAAAAGUAGAGGUUUUAUGUGAACUUUGCAGCAAUGUGGCAAACUUAAAAAAGCUAGUGAAGUUUCUUUCAUUUAACUACAUUGAAAAUAAUAAUAAUAAAGGGAAUGCCUUGGUUAUUAAAGACAUGAACAAUUAUAUAAAUAAGCUCGUCAGGCACUUUGUUGAAGUGAACGGCCACUCUUUGGAAGUUUCCGAACUUUACAAGCUAACUCUUCUGUUGGAAACUUGUUCCCUUUCUUUUUCUUUGCGUGCUUUGACAAAAGGCUUAAGGAAAACUACUUUUUUCUAUAAUUCUGAAAGAUUGACCG